AACAUCGCCUCCUGCAAAAAUCAAUGUAUAGGAGGUCCUGCCUGCCCAGUGACAACUUGUUAAACGGCCGCGGUAUUUUGACCGUGCUAAGGUAGCGCAAUCACUUGUCUUUUAAAUGAAGACCUGUAUGAAUGGUGGAACGAGGGCUUAGCUGUCUCCCUUCUCCCGUCAAUGAAAUUGAUCUGCCCGUGCAGAAGCGGACAUGUAUAUACAAGACGAGAAGACCCUUUGGAGCUUAUUGGGGCGACCGCGGGGGAAAACAAAGCCCCCACGUAAAACCGAGAGAGACAUCUCUAAGCCACAGAAUAUCUGACCAAAAGAUCCGGCCCACAAGCCGAUCAACGAACCAAGUUACCCUAGGGAUAACAGCGCAAUCCUUUCCAAGAGUUCAUAUCGACGAAAGGGUUUACGACCUCGAUGUUGGAUCAGGACAUCCUAAUGGUGCAGCCGCUAUUAAGGGUUCGUUUGUUCAACGAUUAAAGUCCUACGUGA
rnacentral:rRNA from 1 species